rnacentral:rRNA from 1 species
UAGGGAAUCUUCCACAAUGGGCGCAAGCCUGAUGGAGCAACACCGCGUGAGUGAAGAAGGUUUUCGGAUCGUAAAGCUCUGUUGUAAGUCAAGAACGAGUGUGAGAGUGGAAAGUUCACACUGUGACGGUAGCUUACCAGAAAGGGACGGCUAACUACGUGCCAGCAGCCGCGGUAAUACGUAGGUCCCGAGCGUUGUCCGGAUUUAUUGGGCGUAAAGCGAGCGCAGGCGGUUUGAUAAGUCUGAAGUUAAAGGCUGUGGCUCAACCAUAGUUCGCUUUGGAAACUGUCAAACUUGAGUGCAGAAGGGGAGAGUGGAAUUCCAUGUGUAGCGGUGAAAUGCGUAGAUAUAUGGAGGAACACCGGUGGCGAAAGCGGCUCUCUGGUCUGUAACUGACGCUGAGGCUCGAAAGCGUGGGGAGCGAACAGGAUUAGAUACCCUGGUAGUCCACGCCGUNNCGAUGAGUGCUAGGUGUUGGAUCCUUUCCGGGAUUCAGUGCCGCAGCUAACGCAUUAAGCACUCCGCCUGGGGAGUACGACCGCAAGGUU